rnacentral:rRNA from 1 species
UACGUAGGGUGCGAGCGUUGUCCGGAAUUAUUGGGCGUAAAGAGCUUGUAGGCGGUUUGUCGCGUCUGCUGUGAAAAUCCGGGGCUCAACCCCGGACUUGCAGUGGGUACGGGCAGACUAGAGUGUGGUAGGGGAGACUGGAAGUUCCUGGUGUAGCGGUGAAAUGCGCAGAUAUCAGGAGGAACACCGAUGGCGAAGGCAGGUCUCUGGGCCACUACUGACGCUGAGACGCGAAAGCGUGGGGAGCGAACAGGGUUAGAU